UUUAACAGAACAUUCAUGCGAACUGGAUCUAGUUGGGUGGAGUUUACUAUCGUGACAGAUCUCAGAACGGAAAUGUCGUCGACGAGGAUCUCCACAGUCACAUCUGUGAAGAACAUCCGGCUCCAACGAUGUUAAAAGAAAGAAAAAAAAAAAGAAAAAAGAGAAAAAAAAAAGAAAAAGGACUUAGUUUACGUCAAACGGCAAUACGAUUGGACAGAGUGAAGUAAACGCAAAUCGAUGUCGUCGCGAUUGGUUCUAUUCGCGCGGUAAACGUCGCGGUUUCUUUUGAUCCGUUCUUCGAUAUAUCGCUGUUAGGCGUAUACACACGCGUAUAAGAGGAGAGAUCGAGAGCGAUCUCGACGCUGUCGCUUGGCUCGUCGAAUCUUGAGUGUUCUCCUCGAGAGAACGUCCUUUGAGAUCCUCUCGAUCAUCUUUUUUCCUUCUUUUCCUUGUUUUUUCUUUUUUUUUUUCUUUCCUUUUGUAUCAAUACGCACGCACGUAACGUAUUAAUUUCAAUUUGUACUUGUAAUAUUUUAAAACGUAAUUCUUCGAUAAUCUUUCGCAAAUUUUUUUCUUUGAGCUCAUAAAAUUGAUAAUUAAAAUCAUAUAAAAAAUGCUGAUUUUCAUUUUUUUGUUUUAUUUUAUUUUGUUUUCGACGUCUAUUUCUUACGCAAACAUUUAUAAAUACUUCUAUAUAAUACCAUACUUAUAAAAAUGAUAAAUAGAGAAUCUUUCUUCUAAAUAAUAUUAAAAUUUUCCCAGAAUUUAUUUGAAAUUGACAAACGUGCUAUAAUAUUCAAUAAGGUUUAAAGGUAGAAUAAAAUUCGUUAUAAUAAUUCGAUAUAAAAUAUAAUUUUAAUGUAUAAAAAUGAUUAUAAUAUAAAUACGUAAAUAAUUAUUCCCAUCGAGAUCGAGAGAUUUCUUCUUCUUCAAGAAUUAAUUCCGCGUUUCUUUCUCGUCUAUCGAGUAUAAAACAUGCGUUCGUCGUGAACAUACACAAAUAAGCAAGGAUCAGAAGUUAGCAAGACGAAGAUCGAGGAUCGAUGAAGGGAUCGAAGAGAUCGAUAUUGUGCCUUCUUGCUUGCUUGGUUACUUGCUCACUUGUUCGCCGUGUUCGGGCGAGGCUCUAAACUCUACGACGAGGAGACUUAAAUCAAUCACGAUAAUCAUGGUUUCGUUAGUUCGACGACGAUUUUCACCAAGGAUUACAACUUCCAACGAUUCCUAUAGAGUUGUUUUUCCGCGAAAGUUAUCAAUGGCCGCACGAACGCGAGAAAAGAUGUGUGUAUUCAAGCACGUAAGUGACUACGUGUACGUAUGUAUGUGUACGUCGUAAGGAUCUUUAAACGGCACCGGUACUCCCCAGAAAACAAGUGGUCUAGCCAGUUGAACAAAUUACCUACACUUAUUCCAGUGAUUUCGCGAAGUUAACAUAUGUAAUCUGAACUCGAAUGAAACUUCAAUCUCCGAGCAAAUGGAAAAGCACGUGUCCCGUAAUAACAUAAAGGUCACUAACCGGAAUGGGAAAUACGAGGAGAGUAGAGAUAGUUCAGAAUCUCAAGUUGUUCUUUAUUUUCAUCGUUUUUAAACUAUCUUAUUCCUUUUUUUUUCAGGAAGGAGGGAUGGGUAUAUAAGUAUUAUUUGAUGGUUCAUACUAUACGGUAUGGUUUGUCGUUGUUCGAACGCAGAACUCAGCUCGAAGAUAUCGACGUCUCUCUGGCAUGCCACUUACCUUGGAGACUGUAUUCUCGUUCUACCCACGUAAAGAAACAAGACGGUCGAUGUUAGAUGUCUUCUUCGAGCAUAAAUUUCGAGUAUAUAUUGAAAGAAUAUAAUUGUUCUGUUGAAUUUUCAAUGAGCAUCAUAUAAAAAAUUGAUCCUACGUUAUUAAACGAGCUAUCCUUCUGUAUUCGUCAAUAUUAUCUUGAAAAUAAGUUUAAGAAUUUUAACAUAUUUGAAUGAACCUAUCGUUUUUGGAUAGGAAAAAGCGAUUUAACUAAGUCUCUUAACUUUGAAAGAACUUGUUUAGGGCGAUUAAAUAAUCAGAUAAAGUUUAAAUGAUUUUAUCAUUACAAACUGUAGUCGCCACGAUGCGCUAUGAUAUUUGUCGAAUUUCAUAUGACUGUCUUAGUUAUAAAAAAAAAAAGUUAUCAAUAUAAAGAUAUGGAAAUAAUUUUUUCAUUAGAAAACGCGCUACGCGGAUAAUUAACGUAACUUCAUACGGCUUGCUUAGCUAGAUAUAGAUGUACGAUUUUUAUUGAAAUUUAUUCAACUAUAAGAAAUAUGUCUACGUAGACGCACUAUGAGACGUCGAGAUUUCAAUUUUAUUAAGAAGAACAUGGCGCCGUUCGAAGAAGAGCAAGUAUGGAAUGCUGUGCAUUGCCUUUUUCCGAGUCAAGAGGUGAAGCAAUUUGAAAGUCCUGCUACCAUCAGAGAAUCCACGUCACUCCUGUAAUGUUCUAUGGAAGUGUUGGAACAUCAUGGAAGUAAAUCCGAAUGUAACUAUAUGAAACUCGACUGGCAAUUACCCCGACAGCAUAGAGGACUUCAACAUCUUAGUCGAAUAACUGUAGGACAAAUUUUUCAAUUUUUUUAUUAUCCUCCUUUACCAAGCAAAUGAUGCUCGGUCUUUGAAAUAUUUAAUUUUAAAUAAAAAUCAGGUAGAAAAAAAGUAAGUUAAUGUCUGAUA